GACGAACGCUGGCGGUAUGCUUAACACAUGCAAGUCGAACGAGACGAGAUGGAAGUGCUUGCACGGAAAUCUUAGAAAGUGGCGAACGGGUGAGUAACGCGUGGGUAACCUGCCCUAUGGAAAGGAAUAGCCUCGGGAAACUGGGAGUAAUGCCUUAUAAUAUAGUGAAGUCGCAUGGCUUUGCUAUUAAACGCUCCGGUGCCAUAGGAUGGACCCGCGUCCCAUUAGCUAGUUGGUGAGAUAACAGCCCACCAAGGCGACGAUGGGUAACCGGUCUGAGAGGGCGAACGGUCACACUGGAACUGAGACACGGUCCAGACUCCUACGGGAGGCAGCAGUGGGGAAUAUUGCGCAAUGGGGGCAACCCUGACGCAGCAAUACCGCGUGAGUGAAGAAGGUUUUCGGAUCGUAAAGCUCUGUUAUUGGGGAAGAAAAAAAGACGGUACCCAAGAAGAAAGUCCCGGCUAACUACGUGCCAGCCGCCGCCGUAA
rnacentral:rRNA from 1 species